CUCAGGGAGUCUUUUGCUUUCUUUUGGGCACCAAGCCUUGAGAGGCUCGAGGCUUCAUCUACAUGUAGAGAUCAACAGAGAAUUUGAUCAUCUGAUUGGAUUGUCAUGCACCAUGUGAGGCUUCCGAAGCUACUUUCAAGGAUACCAUUAUUGGGGUUGUGCAUCGUUCGACACAGCAUCUGCUCUAGCCUCUCCUUCUCUAGGUCGAUCGAUAAUUUUAUCCUUUAGACAACAUUAUAAAAUAGAAUGUUAGAUAGGUUUUCAUUAUAUAUGG
rnacentral:lncRNA from 1 species